UAUGUAUAAUACAUGCAAGUCGAGCGCUCACUUCGGUGAGAGCGGCGAACGGCUGAGUAACACGUUGGUAUCUACCUCGCACUCAGGGAUAGCCCACUUAACAGUGGAUUAAUACCGGAUAGUCCCGAAAGGGUAAAGAUUUUUCGGUGCGAGAGGAGCCUGCGGCCUAUCAGCUAGUUGGUGGGGUAAUAGCCUACCAAGGCUUUGACGGGUAGCUGGUCUGAGAGGAUGACCAGUCAGAAUGGGACUGAGACACGGCCCAUACUCC
rnacentral:rRNA from 1 species